GAUGGACGCUGGCGGCGUGCCUAACACAUGCAAGUCGAACGGACAAGGGGGAGCUUGCUCCCCCGCGUUAGUGGCGGACGGGUGAGUAACGCGUGAGCAACCUGCCUUUCAGAGGGGGAUAACAUUGGGAAACCGGUGCUAAUACCGCAUGAUGUGUCUUGAUCGCAUGGUCUUGAUACCAAAGGAGCAAUCCACUGAAAGAUGGGCUCGCGUCUGAUUAGAUAGUUGGUGAGGUAACGGCCCACCAAGUCGACGAUCAGUAGCCGGACUGAGAGGUUGAACGGCCACAUUGGAACUGAGACACGGUCCAG
rnacentral:rRNA from 1 species